AUCUGGAAAACGGGAAGGAAGAAAAGAAGCCCCCUGACUCCUCCCUGAGCCCCAGACAGCCCAUGAACUGCCUUCCUGGGAAUGGUAGGACAGGAUGGACUCUGGAUUGCUCCCUCUGGAUGUGUGGCUCUCCCCUGCAGGAACUCCAGGAACUCCUGGUGCCGCCUGGGCCGAUGGAUUGGACGCCCCAGCCCCUCCGUUCCUGCCCAGCCCCUGGGUCUGUGUCCAGUGGUGGCACUGCCAGCCCUGCAGUGGGAUGUAGCCUGGAAACUGCACAGAGCUGAGCCAAGGGAUUGAAAGGGACCAACCAAGGGAGGUGAAGAAAGAAUUAAAGUGAGGCAGCAGCCAAGCAGCAGCAAGUUGCUGUGUAAGCAGGCCAGGCCAAAGCCCUGAUCCAGCCCAGCUCUGCCAAGUGCCCUGGGCUGGGAGCAGCCAAAGGCAAGAGGCUGCAGCCCCGCCGGCCGGGCUGGGGGCUCCUGGUGCUGCCCGUGGGGUGGGGGAUGCCCAGGACGCUGCUAAUGCCCAGGGAUCUGCUCUGGGUCCAGGCUGUCCGUGCUGGAGGGCCCUGGUGGCUGCAGUCCCUGAGCCCGCAGAGACAGAGAGAGCCCCGGCCCGAGUGGCCUUUGGCCCCUUGUCCUGAAUUUGGGGUGAGCCUGGGAGCGUGUGGAAGGUGAGAAU